ensembl:snoRNA SNORD101 small nucleolar RNA, C/D box 101
GUUUGAAUGAUGACUUAAAUUGUCGGAUACCCCUUCACUCCCCUUAUGAGUGAAACAUAACAGUCUGACAAAC